AGGCCACCUGACAGUUGAGACACCAUGCUCACAAAGGUGUUUUUUUUUCCCAGAGAAAGGCCCGUCUCUUGCACAUUGAGUGUUCUGAUACCUGUGAUUUCCCCAAAUGCAGGGAAUUUGACUGCAUCUUUUGUGAUAAUGGCAAGCUCUGCUC
rnacentral:snRNA from 1 species